UCAAUAAGCGGAGGAAAAGAAACUAACCAGGAUUCCCCUAGUAACGGCGAGUGAAGCGGGAAGAGCUCAAAUUUGUAAUCUGGCGGUCUCUGGCCGUCCGAGUUGUAGUCUGGAGAAGCGUCUUCCGUGCCGGACCGUGUACAAGUCCCUUGGAACAGGGCGUCGUAGAGGGUGAGAAUCCCGUCUCUGACACGGACUGCCGGUGCUCUGUGAUGCGCUCUCGAAGAGUCGAGUUGUUUGGGAAUGCAGCUCAAAAUGGGUGGUAAAUUCCAUCUAAAGCUAAAUAUUGGCGAAAGACCGAUAGCGAACAAGUACCGUGAGGGAAAGAUGAAAAGCACUUUGGAAAGAGAGUUAAACAGUACGUGAAAUUGUUGAAAGGGAAACGCUUGGAGUCAGUCACGUCUUCCGAGACUCAGUCAGGGUUCUCCCUGGUGCACUUCUCGGUCUGACGGGCCAGCAUCGAUUUUGACCGUCGGAGAAAGGCUGUGGGAAUGUGGCACCUCCGGGUGUGUUAUAGCCCUCUGUCGUAUGUGAUGGUCGGGAUUGAGGACCGCAGCGUGCCCUUCACCGGGCCGGGGUUCGCCCACGUAACGCGCUUAGGAUGCUGGCGUAAUGGCUUCAA
rnacentral:rRNA from 1 species